rnacentral:rRNA from 1 species
AUUGAACGCUGGCGGCAUGCCUUACACAUGCAAGUCGAACGGCAGCACGGGUGCUUGCACCUGGUGGCGAGUGGCGAACGGGUGAGUAAUACAUCGGAACAUGUCCUGUAGUGGGGGAUAGCCCGGCGAAAGCCGGAUUAAUACCGCAUACGAUCCACGGAUGAAAGCGGGGGCCCUUCGGCCUUGCGCCAAUUGGUUGGGCCAAGGCUGAUUAGCUAGUUGGUGGGGUAAAGGGCUACCAAGGCGACGAUCAGUAGCUGGUCUGAGAGGACGACCAGCCACACUGGGACUGAGACACGGCCCAGACUCCUACGGGAGGCAGCAGUGUGGAAUUUUGGACAAAGGGCGAAAGCCUGAUCCAGCAAUGCCGCGUGUGUGAAGAAGGCCUUCGGGUUGUAAAGCACUUUUGUCCGGAAAGAAAUCCUUGACUCUAAUACAGUCGGGGGAUGACGGUACCGGAAGAAUAAGCACCGGCUAACUACGUG